rnacentral:rRNA from 1 species
AACGAACGCUGGCGGCAUGCCUAACACAUGCAAGUCGAACGAGACCUUCGGGUCUAGUGGCGCACGGGUGCGUAACGCGUGGGAACCUGCCCUUAGGUUCGGAAUAACUCCCCGAAAGGGGUGCUAAUACCGGAUAAUGUCUUCGGACCAAAGAUUUAUCGCCUUUGGAUGGGCCCGCGUUGGAUUAGCUAGUUGGUAGGGUAAAAGCCUACCAAGGCGACGAUCCAUAGCUGGUCUGAGAGGAUGAUCAGCCACACUGGGACUGAGACACGGCCCAGAAUCCUACGGGAGGCAGCAGUGGGGAAUAUUGGACAAGGGGCGAAAGCCUGAUACAGCAAUGCCGCGUGAGUGAUGAAGGCCUUAGGGUUGUAAAGCUCUUUUACCCGGGAUGAUAAUGACAGUACCGGGAGAAUAAGCCCCGGCUAACUCCGUG